AUUGAACGCUGGCGGCAUGCCUUACACAUGCAAGUCGAGCGGCAGCGCGGGGCAACCUGGCGGCGAGCGGCGAACGGGUGAGUAAUACAUCGGAACGUGCCCAGACGUGGGGGGAUAACUACUCGAAAGAGUGGCUAAUACCGCAUACGAUCUACGGAUGAAAGCGGGGGAUCGCAAGACCUCGCGCGUCUGGAGCGGCUGAUGGCAGAUUAGGUAGUUGGUGGGAUAAAAGCCUACCAAGCCAACGAUCUGUAGCUGGUCUGAGAGGAUGAUCAGCCACACUGGACUGAGACACGGCCCAGACUCCUACGGGAGGCAGCAGUGGGGAAUUUUGGACAAGUGGGACGAAAGCCUGAUCCAGCCAUUCCGCGUGCAGGAUGAAGGCCC
rnacentral:rRNA from 1 species